UUUAAGGUCUAACCUGCCCAAUGAGGAUUUAAAUGGCCGCAGUAUUUUGACUGUGCAAAGGUAGCAUAAUUAUUAGUUUUUUAAUUGAAAGCUUGUAUGAAGGGUUGGACGAGAUAAAAUCUGUCUUUAUUUAAAUCAAAGUAUAAUUUAACUUUUAAGUCAAAAGGCUUAAAUGUUUAUAAAAGACGAGAAGACCCUAUAGAUCUUUAUUUAAUUAAGAUUUUAAUAAUUUAGGAUUAUUUUAAUUUGGAGUUUUAAUUAAAUUUUAUUGGGGUAAUAUAAAGAUUAAAUAAAUUCUUUUUAUUUAUAACAUUAAUUUAUGAAUAUAUGAUCCAUUAAUAUUGAUUAUAAGAUUAAGUUACCUUAGGGAUAACAGCGUAAUUUUUUUGGAGAGCCCAUAUCGAUAAGAAAGUUUGCGACCUCGAUGUUGGAUUAAAAAUUAGCUUGGGUGCAGAAGCUCAAGAUUUUGGUCUGUUCGACCAUUAAAUUUUUACAUGAUCUGAGUUCAGACCGGCGUAAGCCAGGUCGGUUUCUAUCUUUAUUUAGAUAAAAUAUUUUAGUACGAAAGGACCAAGUAUUUAAUAUAAUUAUAUUUAUUUUUUGAAGAAUAUU
rnacentral:rRNA from 1 species